rnacentral:rRNA from 1 species
AACGAACGCUGGCGGCAUGCCUAACACAUGCAAGUCGAACGAGACCUUCGGGUCUAGUGGCGCACGGGUGCGUAACGCGUGGGAAUCUGCCCUUGGGUUCGGAAUAACAGUUAGAAAUGACUGCUAAUACCGGAUAAUGUCUUCGGACCAAAGAUUUAUCGCCCAGGGAUGAGCCCGCGUAGGAUUAGCUAGUUGGUGAGGUAAAGGCUCACCAAGGCGACGAUCCUUAGCUGGUCUGAGAGGAUGAUCAGCCACACUGGGACUGAGACACGGCCCAGACUCCUACGGGAGGCAGCAGUGGGGAAUAUUGGACAAUGGGCGAAAGCCUGAUCCAGCAAUGCCGCGUGAGUGAUGAAGGCCUUAGGGUUGUAAAACUCUUUCACCUGUGACGAUGAUGACGGUAGCAGGAGAAGAAGCACCGGCUAACUCCGUGCCAGCAGCCGCGGUAAU